GAUGAACGCUAGCUACAUGCUUAACACAUGCAAGUCGAGGGGAAACGAUAUUGGAAGCUUGCUUCCGAUAGGCGUCGACCGGCGCACGGGUGAGUAACGCGUAUCCAACCUGCUCAUCACUUGGGGAUAACCUUGCGAAAGUAAGACUAAUACCCAAUGAUAUCUCUAGAAGACAUCUGAAGGAGAUUAAAGAUUUAUCGGUGAUGGAUGGGGAUGCGUCUGAUUAGCUUGUUGGCGGGGUAACGGCCCACCAAGGCGACGAUCAGUAGGGGUUCUGAGAGGAAGGUCCCCCACAUUGGAACUGAGACACGGUCCAAACUCCUACGGGAGGCAGCAGUGAGGAAUAUUGGUCAAUGGGCGAGAGCCUGAACCAGCCAAGUAGCGUGCAGGAUGACGGCCCUAUGGGUUGUAAACUGCUUUUAUAAGGGAAUAAAGUGAGUCUCGUGAGACUUUUUGCAUGUACCUUAUGAAUAAGGACCGGCUAAUUCCGUGCCAGCAGCCGCCGUAA
rnacentral:rRNA from 1 species